CUGAUGAACUCAUGAACCAUUCCAUUUCAGGUUGUUGGCCUCAAGCUGGACUUCGUUUGAGCCAAUGGCAGCAUCAGUGAAACCAAAAAGUUUGGCAGAAAGCCACCAUGGAUGUCCUGCCACUCAUCUCUCGGCUGGCUGGCUAGGGACUGUAGUGCUUCACCCACAAUGGUAUGAAUGAAAGCUCCAUGAGCUCCUGAACCAUGCUAGGGCUUUUAAGUGAGGCAGGAAGGGUGAAGGAAGACUGAGAUAUCAGAAACCCAUGUGUCACCUGGGGGCCUUUUGCCUACUGAGUCCCUGGGGGUCUCAAUGAAUGGCAAUGCCCUGCUCACUUUUCAACCGGGUUCUGUUCGGAGUGAUGGUUUCUCUUUGAUUCUAUAACCAUUCCUUUUCAGAGGGCUGUAUGCAGGCUGUGGAGAGCAGGAGUGCCCUGCCUGACCAUAGUUCAUACAAAUUCUCCCUGAUGGAGCAUAGACUGACAGUGACCUCACAUCAUGCUAGCGGGCCGCUCAACGUCACUCUGCAAGCAGAACGACACCAGGUGGUUCGCACAAUGCGUCCAAGAGGAACUGAAUGUUUCACUGGAUGCCAGCUGUGUGGUUAGCCUCAAGCUGGACUUCGUUUGAGCCCAUGAGAGCAUCAGUGAAAGCAAAAAGGUUGUCAGGAGGCAACCAUGGAUGUCCUGCCACUCAUCUCUCAGCUAGCUGGCUAGAGACUGGAGUGCUUCACGCACAAUGGUAUGAGCGAGGGCUCCAGGAGCUCCUGAACCAUGCUAGGGCUUUUGAGGGAGGCAGGGAGGGUGAAGGAAGCCUG
rnacentral:lncRNA from 1 species